rnacentral:rRNA from 1 species
UAGAGGAAGUAAAAGUCGUAACAAGGUUUCCGUAGGUGAACCUGCGGAAGGAUCAUUACUGAAAGACAAUAGGGUUUGAGACUGCGUCGUUGACGGCGUGUGCUCGACCCUUACUCUUUUAUCCACACACCUCUGUGCAUCAUGUGGGGACUUUGGUCCCCUUUUUCACAUAAACACCGAGUAUAUGCAUGUAUAGUACACUCUACGGAGUUAAUGUACAACUUUCAACAACGGAUCUCUUGGCUUUCGCAUCGAUGACGAACGCAGCGAAUGUGCGAAACGUAAUGUGAAUUGCAGAAUUCAGUGAAUCAUCGAAUCUUUGAACGCAUCUUGCGCUCCUUGGUAUUCCGAGGAGCAUGCCUGUUUGAGUGUCGCGAAAUACUCUCGAUUUCAUUUUAAUCUUUUGAAAUCGGAUUUGGGUGUUGUUGUGGGAAUUACACGACUCAUCCUAAAUGCAUUAGCGGUCUGCCUUGAUCACGCGCAAUGUGAUAAUAAAAAGCAUUGUUAGGAUCAAGACGGGUUGCUCCCAACCGUCGAAAGACAACGGGAUAUAUGCGUCGUUUGACCCGCAUAUAUAUGUCGUUUGACCUCAAAUCAGGUAGGAUUACCCGCUGAACUUAAGCAUAUCAAUAAGCGGAGGAAAAGAAACUAACGAGGAUUCCCUUAGUAACGGCGAGUGAAAUGGGAAAAGCUCAAAUUUGAAAUCUGGCGGCCCUUUGGGUCGUCCGAGUUGUAAUUUAGAGAAGUGUUUUCCGCGCUGGACCGUGUACAAGUCCUUUGGAACAGGGCGUCAUAGAGGGUGAGAAUCCCGUCUACGACACGGACCACCAGUGCUUUGUGAUACACUCUCAACGAGUCGAGUUGUUUGGGAAUGCAGCUCAAAAUGGGUGGUAAAUUCCAUCUAAAGCUAAAUACAGGCGAAAGACCGAUAGCGAACAAGUACCGUGAGGGAAAGAUGAAAAGCACUUUGGAAAGAGAGUUAAACAGUACGUGAAAUUGUUGAAAGG